rnacentral:rRNA from 1 species
CCUACGGGUGGCAGCAGUGGGGAAUAUUGGACAAUGGGGGCAACCCUGAUCCAGCCAUGCCGCGUGUGUGAAGAAGGCCCUCGGGUUGUAAAGCACUUUCAGUGAGGAAGAACGCCUGGUGGUUAAUACCCAUCAGGAAAGACAUCACUCACAGAAGAAGCACCGGCUAACUCCGUGCCAGCAGCCGCGGUAAUACGUAGGGUGCGAGCGUUAAUCGGAAUUACUGGGCGUAAAGCGCGCGUAGGUGGCUUGAUAAGCCGGUUGUGAAAGCCCCGGGCUCAACCUGGGAACGGCAUCCGGAACUGUCAAGCUAGAGUGCAGGAGAGGAAGGUAGAAUUCCCGGUGUAGCGGUGAAAUGCGUAGAGAUCGGGAGGAAUACCAGUGGCGAAGGCGGCCUUCUGGACUGAAACUGACACUGAGGUGCGAAAGCGUGGGUAGCAAACAGGAUUAGAUACCCCUGUAGUC